rnacentral:rRNA from 1 species
UACAGAGGGUGCAAGCGUUAAUCGGAAUUACUGGGCGUAAAGCGUGCGUAGACGGUUAUGUAAGUCAGAUGUGAAAGCCCCGGGCUCAACCUGGGAAUUGCAUUUGAGACUGCAUAGCUAGGGUGCGGAAGAGGGAAGCGGAAUUUCCGGUGUAGCGGUGAGAUGCGUAGAUAUCGGAAGGAACACCAGUGGCGAAAGCGGCUUCCUGGUCCAGCACCGACGUUCAGGCACGAAAGCGUGGGGAGCAAACAGG